AGAUCAUUGACCAAACUGCUUUUAGAUCCUGAAACUGAAAUUAGGAUUUUGCUCAAGCCAUCUCUCCAACUUUUGAAUGAGGCAAAAGGAGUGAAAAGUGCAUGGAGUAGGGGGAGGAAGGUGACCACAACCCUUUCUGAAGAGAGAAGCGUUACUCUGUCUUGACCCUUCAUGACCAUGUCUGCCUAAUGACACCGUGGUGAAACAACUGUGUACUUGUGUACUUCAUUUUGGACCAAGACCUCCUGGAUUUGUACCACCAGACAUCUUUGGAGGAUCUCCUUCCUCUUCCUUUGCCAUACCUAGCUAACCCGUAUCUUCUGGAAAAAGAAAAAGGCAGCAGGAUUGGUCUCGAGAGAGGUACAUUCUCACUGUUUAGAUGAGUUUGAGUCACGCCACUCUUUAAUUCUGGAAAGCAUCUUACGUUAACAUCUUGCCUAGGAGUGUUCUCACCACAGCUGAGCCCAAGAACAUGAGCUUUGGCCCACUGGCUCUGCCUAGCAAAGUAACAGAACUUUGUGAGCUUGAGGCUACACAGCUCCAAUUGCUCUAAUUACACAGCCAGGAAUUUUACAAUUGUACAAUAAGUCAACCUCUUACGGGGACUAAUGCUUAAAAUGGAAAUUCUAGAUUGCUGAGAAUGAGAAAAGGAUUUAUAUGGUUAAAGAUCUGUGUUUGCUAUUUACUAAACCUAACUGCAUUAACUAACUUCUAUUCACAAUUUUUUCUUGCUAUAAAUUAGAGUCUGUUAUUUUUGCUUUGGCCUUUAAGCUCAAACCUGGUUUCUGAUUUUAAGAUGGUCCUCAGACAGCGGAAUCAUAGGAAAAGAUUAUGUGCUAGACUAGAGAAAAAGCUUGGUUAACUGGUGCAUGUUAGCUAAUGCUGAGCUAAUUUUAACCUCUUUUUGCUACCUUAUAAACAAAGUCUUUGGUAUUAGACUUGUCUUACUAGAUUCCUUACGUGUUCAGUUACGUUUAUACUAUAAACUCAAAUUCCUGAAACAUUACAGGCCAGUUUGAGCAGAAGAAAAAUGUAGCCUUAAAGGUUUGAUUCAGUAAUACUACUAGCAGUGAAGGUUAGGAAAAAUAGGAAUAAUGUUUUAAGUACUGUACAGAAGCAAUAAUGUGAAAUUGUUCUGGUGAAUAAUUUAUUUUAAAGGCCUAAACUAUUUUUCAUCAAAGAUUUUGUCACCUAAAUGUCUAAAUUUUCUUAGGAAAUACAUUGAGGAGGCCCAUCUAAACAGAGAUGAAGCUAUACAGAAAUGAAAAGGUUAAAAGUAGUCUGGGGGUGGGGUUUAACAUGCCAGUCUCACAGACAUUUUAUGAGAUUCGCAAAUACUCAUGCAGCCCCUCUCCAAACUAGUGAUCUUUGCCUAAAAAAUGAGCACAGCACUGUGAUUGUGGGGAUUACAAUGCAUGCUAGAAAUACCCCCUUUGCCCUUUUUUUUAAGAGGCAGGCCCAGUGCCAAAGAGCCUGAAGAAAGGCAAAUUCCCAUGCCAUAUCACAGAGCAUACUCCCCACAUUUUAUCCAGAUUUCCCAUCAGCCAAAUGGGACUGAAGAACAGGAGAAUUGGGCAGUUACUUCUGCUGGCGCUUCAGAGUACAAGACUGUGAGUUCAGUAAUUAAUAGGCUUUCACUCUUUUGCUGUGCUACACAAAAAGAAAUGAGCAUAAUAAGCAAAUACUAUUUUGUUAUUCUGUGCUUUACAUCUCUGCUCACGUAUAUCAUGGUAGCGUAAAAGUUACAGCUGAGGCAAGAGAAGUUCUUUCAGGUUGUUGAAAUAACUGGUGCAGCGUAAUUUGCUAAUGAUGCAGAUAGGAAAAGGUUUGGAGGGUUCUGCAGAGGUUUUGUGCUUGUGC